UGGUUCUGGCAUCGAUGAAGAACGCAGCGAAAUGCGAUAAGUAAUGUGAAUUGCAGAAUUCAGUGAAUCAUCGAAUCUUUGAACGCACAUUGCGCCCUCUGGUAUUCCGGAGGGCAUGCCUGUUCGAGCGUCAUUUCAACCCUCAAGCCUGGCUUGGUGAUGGGGCACUGCUCUUGUAAGAGAGCAGGCCCUGAAAUCUAGUGGCGAGCUCGCCAGGACCCCGAGCGCAGUAGUUAAACCCUCGCUCUGGAAGGCCCUGGCGGUGCCCUGCCGUUAAACCCCCAACUCUUGAAAAUUUGACCUCGGAUCAGGUAGGAAUACCCGCUGA
rnacentral:misc_RNA from 1 species